GCACCUUUUUGGCGAGGACACGGGAGGCAGUACACACCGCAGCCAUGAUGGGUCGUUUCGUCUGAUAAAAGCAACGUUACCAAACACUUCUUGGGUCCCAGUGUAUGCCGGUGCCGGAGUAUACCAUCUCAAGAGAGGGGUGGGAAAUUACGGAAUGUUUAUUUUCAUAAGAGAGACGAUUGAGGUUCGAUUGAAGAGACAUUCAUGAACAUAAAGGCCAGACGAACAACCUGACGCUAAGGAUAUACUGCUGCUCCCGGAGGAGGCCCAAAUCCCUGUCAUUCGCAUGAAGAGGAGACUGAUUCAGAGGCUGCAGAUCCAGAUACCUUGUGAGAAUUUGUCGGUGACUGGGUUAUCCGCCUGUAACAUCCGUCCUAUUGGCCGACAUGCAAUCACUGGAGAAUAAACUGGAAGAGCUCCGUUCAAGACUAUCCUACUAACGGGACAUUAAAAACUGUAAUAUCACAGAGUUGUGCCUGAACGACGACAUGGGUAAUAUACAGUUGGCUGGGUUUUCCUCAGCCAGACACAACAGCUACCCCAGGUAAGACAAGGUGGUGGUCUGGGUCUAUUUGUCAGUAACAGCUGGUGUGCGAUCUCUAAUAUUAAGGAAGUCUCAGCCCGGAGUGGCGGCAAUGGGAACAAGUGGAAUUACGCCCUACUAAUGCCCAUGAUUGACCUACCUGCCUUCCGUAAGUACUGUAUUACAUAUACACAAGCUGCAUGCUCAAGGACCUCUGCAGGAGCACAGAGCAGCUUGUCUGUUGACUAGAUAUAAGUUAAUUACGUGUAACGUUGCUGACUCAACCUUACUUUGCUAUGAGACGGCCACUUUACAGACAUCCAUUUUAGGCCAAUGAAUAUGUACUGUGCUGUUGAUGUCUUAUUAAAUGCAUUAACUAUCUCAAUGCACUUCCUGCUAUCCAAGAUUGGCAUGUCAGAUGACAAAUGUUCCUUACUCUCAUUUGGUAAAAUAAGGUCUGAACAAGUGGCAACAUUCCAUAACUUGUAAGGCAUAGGUAAAAGACAACAAGCUAAAUGUGU